UUUUGUAUUGCAAGUCCAUGGAUGAAAUUCAAUACUAUAGUAGUAUAGAAAAGCAUUCAUACCACCUCUGUUCAUUGUCUGUCAGAAUUCGUAGCAUUUAAGAAUACUUCUAGGUCCAUAAAAUUAAAAUAAUAUAUCAUUAAAUGACAUGUUGAAAUAUGAAUAGAAGAAGUGUAUACUACUGUAGUACUAUAAAUUUUCUCGUUAGUGCAGGGAUGGAAAAUUCAGAUGAGAGUGGCACUGCCAUGAUGUUAAGUUGCAGGGAAGAGACCACCCCUCUAUUAACCCAACCAGACAAAGCUGGGAAGGUCCAAAUGAGUUCAAUGCAUAAGGGAAGUUCAGAAUUUUGGGUGUUUGCAGCUACUAAUUCCCCUAUGGUUACAUAUCUUAAUUAGAUUGGCAUCAAUGUCUUUUAGGUUAGCUGUGGGCUAAAAUGGCGAAUUUAGUCACUUCAGUUUUAUGUUGAUUGUUAGUUGCCCAUUUCAUGAAGUUCAUAUAAUCUUUGUUAUCAACAAUUUUAGCCAGCAAAACAUAUGGUAUGUUUAUUCAAACAUUCGUUAAUCUAGCAACCGACAGACGUAAUGUAAAAAUCGAAAGUUAUAGAUGUA